GCAGGACAUAAAUGAUGAAGUGGAGGCUGAGAAGCUCCAGAACGGUGAGCUGAAAGACGAUGCAUAGCAUAGAAGGGUUUUCUUAUAAUCAAAUGUACAUAACACGCAAUAUACAAAAGUUGAAAAGAAACACUUCCAUUAAUGAAAAGCUUCAUGUUUAUUGA